GUCCUACGAACGUCCAUGGGACCUAAAUUUUGGACGUCCCAGGGAUGUCCGCUCUGAACUUUCUACAUUUAGGGAAAAAUACUUUUUUUUAAACAAAAUAAAUAUUAUUUAUUAAUAUUCUUUAUAAUAUAAUAUUUAUUCAAUAUGUAGAACAGAAUAUUUUUUUCCGAAUAUAAAAUACACUAUUUACAAUUGUAAAUUAAUAUUAAUUAAUAUUAUUAUCCUAGAUAGCACCGGACGUCCCAUGGACGUACAGAGAACGUACAGAAAACGUUCUGGAAAUUUCCAGCACCGGACGUCCCAUGGACGUACAGAGAACGUACAGAAAACGUUCUGGGAAUGUCCAGCACCGGAUGUUCCAUGGACGUACAUAAGACGUUCCUGUUCCUGUGCUAUCUGGAAAAUUCAGAGCGGACAUCCCUGAGACGUACAAAAUUUAGGUCCCAUGGACGUUCUAAGGACGUCCGACAACGGACGUCGGACGUUUGGACGUAAACUGGACAUAAAAUGGACGUCCAUGGGACGUCCGGUGCUAUCUGGGUAUUUAUUAUGUAUAUGCAACAGUAAGAUAUAUUUUCUUUAUAGUAUAUGUUCACAUACUCAUUACAGCUUUUCGCAGGAUGAACCAUUAACAAAUAUGCAUAUUAGCAUGAAGUAGUUAUUUAAUAUACAUAAAAAGCUCACUAUACAUAUAAUAUAUUGUAACACACGCAUAACGUAUAUAGAUACACAUGUAGGUACAUUAACGAUUGACCAGGCAUUCUAUAUAGAUACAAUAAUUUGUAUCAGUAUCUCUGACAUACGUUAUUUAAUAAAUCUGUAUAAUUGAUGAACAAACACGUACAAUAGCCGAAAUAACAAAUUCUCUUUAAAAACGUACAUUUUUAAUUGCUUAAAAGCAUGAAGUUAUCCUGUACAAAUUCUGGAUUUAUAUUUCAUUCUGUAACACUUUAUUGAUAUUAGAAAUGCUGCGACCCUAAAAGAGAUUUCUUUUUCUGAACUUAUAAUACUCAGUGUUCGAUUUUUUUUAUCUCAUACUAAUUAAGUUUAAUCUGUAUAUUUUUAGUUUUCGAAAGUAAAUAUUUUAUGUGAAAAACUGUAGCAUCGCAAAAGGAUUUGUUAUAUAAUUGACGUAGUUUGCGAAUAUUUUAUAUAAAAAUUAUUGAGUUAAAAAUCAAAAAACAUUUGUCACAUAAAUAGCAAAGUAUGUUUAAUAAAUUUAUUACAUAACUGUUGGGUUUUUAUUAAUUGGUAGAAUUGUUGGAUUCUAAUCUCAAAGUUAGCGCGUUAGGCGAAUGUGUGAAUGCGUUUUGUUUUAUGGAUCCAUGUGGCGCUGACCGGAAGGAUCUUCCUUCAUUCGUAUGUUUGGUGCUGCACAUAGCACUGGAUAGAAAGCACGUGUGUAUUUUACCUCCUAAUAAAACCUACCAAAGCACGUGUAUAUUCUACCAAUUAAUAAAAACCCACCAAUAACGAUAAAGCUCAUUGUAAGUACUAAAGUUCUCGGAAGUAGUUUAGGGCAAGCCCCACACGGAAAGUUAAAUAAUAAAAUAUUUAUAGAGACCAAGCUGAAUCUCACUUAGCCUUACAAGUAAUAAUUUCUAAUUUUAUAGUUUUAUUGACAAAUUUGGAACCAUUACACAUCUUGAUUAUGACAUUAAAUUAUUGCAAUACAAUUGAAUAGCCAGUUUAUUAAAGUAUUCUUUCAUAAAUUCUACGAUUUCAUGAGUAUUUCUUACUCCAUUACAUCUGAAUUAAGCCAAAAAAUGAAUACUUUUGUAAACAAGUAUUUGCGAAUGAAAUAUUUUAUCGAAAUUGUCUCCUAUACUUAGAACCAUCCACUAAUAAAAAUGAUAAAAGUCUGUCAGUCUUCUUUUAGUAUGUUUAUAUAUUUUACAAACAUAAGUCAUCUUUAAACAAAAUCAUGACACAUGUGACACCUUAGUCCAUUACUUAUUCUUAAAUUUAAUUACAGACACAUUACACACGUCUUGUAUUUUAGAAGCUUGAAAGCAUUAUCCAGGGAAUAAUAAAGUUAAUACUACCUUCUUUUUUCAUGCAAAAUUAAUUCAUUCGUCCCUGUAUAUUUAAUGCAACAGUAAUAUUUUAUUUUAAAAUUUAAGUUUCUGUAAAGUAUUUUGUUUAACAAAUUUGAGAAUCUGUGGUAACAUUAAUACAUUCUCAAUAAAAGCAAUAUUAUGAACAUUAAACUGUAAUACAAAAUUAUAUAAAAAACUUAUAAUACUUUGUUCGAAUAUUGAAAUAUAGAAAAUUGACCUAUGAAAUGUAUUAAACUAGAUAUAAAAUUAAGAACAAGAUUAUUUGUAUUAUAUCUUAUGGUAUACAAAAAUUAAUAUCAUCGAUAAAUGAUACAUAAACAGUUUUUUAAUUUAUGAGAAAAAAAACAUAAAUACAUGAAAUAAUACAAAAGAUUUUUUAAAAUGAAUUAUAUACUAAAAAUAUGUAAAAAUGCAUUCAUAGAUAUGUAAAUGCAAGUCUAACAAUGUAAUACUUUAUCAGUUUAGUUGCCACAUUAAAGUUUCAUUUAUAAUCAUAAAGAGUAGCUUGUACUGUUCAUAAAACAUGACAAUUAAAACCCAUUGUAAGAUAUAAAAGAAUAAGCGAUUUGGCAUCUGAAGUCUUACUCAUAUCACAAUGGAUACAGUGUACAUAUUACAUGCCUAACUGAUACAGGAAGCCCAAUGAAUGUUAAUAAUACACAGAUAUACGAAUAAUUAUCUUAAGACUAUUUUAAACACAGCCAAUAACACAUCAGUUACACACGAUCAUAGUUCUAUAUAGGACACAAGUUACACACAAAUAAGUAACUUCAUCAAUUCAAAAUAUAGAGGAGUAUAUGUCACAUCAGGAUAGCUUUUGUCAACAGUAUCUUCUAAUAAAACAAAAAUAUCACGACCAUAUAUCUCAAUUGUAAGACAUAUGCAUGUAAG